AUUGAGGAACUCACCCUUACAACUAUUUUUCAGGUAACAAGCAGUGAGUUGAGUAGAAGCUAUUUUUGAAGUCUAAUGUCGUCUUUAGCGGGUCAUGCUCUGAUAGAUGUAACAUCGGGAGGGGAUGUUUUAAUUAAUUUGAUAUUGGUUGUUGAAUGAUUUACAUGUAUCGUGUUACAUGCUUUACAUUGAUGUUGGAUUUUAUUCCGCUGCGAAUUAUGCAAAAGAACCUUAUUUUGAUUUAAUAAAUGAGCAUGACAGGACAUUUUGAUAAUUGUGG
rnacentral:lncRNA from 1 species